ensembl:lncRNA
GGGGAAUUCUCAGGGGCAGCCCCCUCCAAAAUCAAAGACCUGUGGGGCGAAGCCCCAGCAUCCUGCCCCAGUGAGCUGGGGCUGGCUCCAACAGCUGCUGCUCCUUGGUCUCUCAUCUCCUGAAGCUUUGACAGGCCAGCUGGGGUAGGGGGUUAGCCUCUGAGGCCUGUCCUGUCCUAUGCGGCCCCAGGCAGCGCUGCUCCCUGUGCCUGAGACACUGGCUUCUCCACAUAGACCCCAGACCCAGGACUGGGGCCACCGCCCUCACUGUGCACUUUACAGGGUCCUCCUCCAGGCCUCCACUCAGAGCCUACCAUCCCGCUCUUCCUAAACCACAUUCCAGGUGCCCAGAGUGUUGGAAUUAUCUGCCUCAGGGCCCCGGUUGUCCUCCUAUGUGUCCGUUCUCCUACAAGUGGACCACACCGCCAGAAUACACAGCUCAAUGUCCAAGAGGCAGCCACGGCAUCACUGUUUGGCUCUGGGGCUAAAAAGAAACUUGGACACGUAGGCUGGGAGUUCACUUCUACGAACGCGAGGCCCGCAGGAGGCACAGGAUGAAUUCAAGCGGGAAGAGAAGGGGCUGGGCCACGGGACAGAGACCUCCCUCUGGAGUCUUCCUCUAGGCCCUGUAAAUGUUAGAGGCAGUUCUGCUCCCUAAGCUUCCAGGGGAAAAGAGUGAAGGAUUUGGCAAUAAAGUCCUUAGUUUUUGCAAAUGUCUGCAAGUCAUAAAAGUGCUUUUAAGUUCUCCACAGGUCAGGACUGGUCACGUUAGGCUCUUACACCUCUCCCACGGUCCUUCCCCGACUAGACAUUGAGAGACUCCCAGUCAAUUCACCACCCUAGAUGGCUGCCCCUCACCUUCUUCCCAGGGCCCCACAUCCAAUUAGUCCAAAUACACCCAUGUUUUCAAGCACCUUUCUGAUGAACCUCCAGAAAGUAGCCAGCACUGCAGAAGUUUCUUGUAGCACGUACUCAAAUGUCUAGGAUCCUACCAGCCAAAGGACAACAGUCUCCUUGCUUCCACCAGGGAAUUUGCUAACACUUGCUUCUAAGAUCUGACCCCUCAGAGCCACUGUGAUCCAUCAAUCAAUUCAAAAAUUAUAGUGGCCUGGGGCUGUGUGGGUGAGGUGGCUGCUUGGGAGGCUGAGGUGGGAGGAUGGCUUAAGCCCAGGAGCUCAAGGCUGUAGCAAGCUGUGAUUGCACCACUGCACUCCAGCCUGUGCAACACAGCAAGAUACCAUCUUUAUAAAACCAAACCAGUGGCCAGGCACAUGGCUCAUGCCUGUAAUCCCAGCACUUUGGGAGGCCGAGGUGGGCAGAUCACGAGGUCAGGAGAUUGAGACCAUCCUGGCUAACAUGGUGAAACCCCGUCUCUACUAAAAAUACAAAAAAUUAGCUAGGUGUGGUGGCGGGCACCUGUAGUCCCAGCUACUCGUGAGGCUGAGGCAGGAGAAUGGUGUGAACCCGGGAGGCAAAGCUUGCAGUGAGCCGAGAUCGUACCACUGCACUCCAACCUGGGCAACAGAGCAAGACUCAGUCUCAAAAAAAAAAAAA